UGAGGCGUGGUGUAACUGGCAACAUCUCUGACUCUGACUCAGAAGACUCUAGGUUCGACCCCUAGCGCCUCAACCA
rnacentral:tRNA from 1 species